AGGUAAGCUACUAAGAGCGAAUGGUGGAUGCCUUGACUGGUAAAGGCGAUGAAGGACGUACUAGACUGCGAUAAGCUACGGGGAGCUGUCAAGAAGCUUUGAUCCGUAGAUUUCCGAAUGGGGCAACCCAAUGUAUAGAGAUAUACAUUACCUAUAUAGGAGCGAACGAGGGGAAUUGAAACAUCUUAGUACCCUCAGGAAAAGAAAUCAAUAGAGAUUGCGUCAGUAGCGGCGAGCGAAAGCGCAAGAGGGCAAACCCAGUGCUUGCACUGGGGGUUGUAGGACUGCAAUGUGCAAGAGGUAAGUUUAGCAGAACAUUCUGGAAAGUAUAACCAUAGAGGGUGAUAGUCCCGUAUGCGAAAAACAAACCUUAGCUAGCAGUAUCCUGAGUAGGGCGGGACACGAGGAAUCCUGUCUGAAUCCGGGUCGACCACGAUCCAACCCUAAAUACUAAUACCAGAUCGAUAGUGCACAAGUACCGUGAGGGAAAGGUGAAAAGAACUGAGGUGAUCAGAGUGAAAUAGAACCUGAAACCAUUUGCUUACAAUCAUUCAGAGCCCUAUGUAGCAAUACAGGGUGAUGGACUGCCUUUUGCAUAAUGAGCCUGCGAGUUGUGGUGUCUGGCAAGGUUAAGCAAACGCGAAGCCGUAGCGAAAGCGAGUCUGAAUAGGGCGCUUAGUCAGAUGCUGCAGACCCGAAACGAAGUGAUCUAUCCAUGAGCAAGUUGAAGCUAGUGUAAGAACUAGUGGAGGACUGAACCCAUAGGCGUUGAAAAGCCCCGGGAUGACUUGUGGAUAGGGGUGAAAGGCCAAUCAAACUUCGUGAUAGCUGGUUCUCUCCGAAAUAUAUUUAGGUAUAGCGUUGUGUCGUAAUAUAAGGGGGUAGAGCACUGAAUGGGCUAGGGCAUACACCAAUGUACCAAACCCUAUCAAACUCCGAAUACCUUAUAUGUAAUCACAGCAGUCAGGCGGCGAGUGAUAAAAUCCGUCGUCAAGAGGGAAACAACCCAGACUACCAGCUAAGGUCCCUAAAUCUUACUUAAGUGGAAAACGAUGUGAAGUUACUUAAACAACCAGGAGGUUGGCUUAGAAGCAGCCAUCCUUUAAAGAAAGCGUAAUAGCUCACUGGUCUAGUGAUUUUGCGCGGAAAAUAUAACGGGGCUAAAGUAAGUACCGAAGCUGUAGACUUAGUUUACUAAGUGGUAGGAGAGCGUUCUAUUUGCGUCGAAGGUAUACCGGUAAGGAGUGCUGGAGCGAAUAGAAGUGAGCAUGCAGGCAUGAGUAGCGAUAAUUAAUGUGAGAAUCAUUAACGCCGUAAACCCAAGGUUUCCUACGCGAUGCUCGUCAUCGUAGGGUUAGUCGGGUCCUAAGUCGAGUCCGAAAGGGGUAGACGAUGGCAAAUUGGUUAAUAUUCCAAUACCAACAUUAGUGUGCGAUGGAAGGACGCUUAGGGCUAAGGGGGCUAGCGGAUGGAAGUGCUAGUCUAAGGUCGUAGGAGGUUGUACAGGCAAAUCCGUAUAACAAUACUCCGAGAACUGAAAGGCUUUUUGAAGUCUUCGGAUGGAUAGAAGAACCCCUGAUGCCGUCGAGCCAAGAAAAGUUUCUAAGUUUAGCUAAUGUUGCCCGUACCGUAAACCGACACAGGUGGGUGGGAUGAGUAUUCUAAGGCGCGUGGAAGAACUCUCUUUAAGGAACUCUGCAAAAUAGCACCGUAUCUUCGGUAUAAGGUGUGGUUAGCUUUGUAUUAGGAUUUACUCCGAAAGCAAGGAAACUUACAACAAAGAGUCCCUCCCGACUGUUUACCAAAAACACAGCACUCUGCUAACUCGUAAGAGGAUGUAUAGGGUGUGACGCCUGCCCGGUGCUCGAAGGUUAAUUGAUGGGGUUAGCAUUAGCGAAGCUCUUGAUCGAAGCCCGAGUAAACGGCGGCCGUAACUAUAACGGUCCUAAGGUAGCGAAAUUCCUUGUCGGUUAAAUACCGACCUGCAUGAAUGGCGUAACGAGAUGGGAGCUGUCUCAAAGAGGGAUCCAGUGAAAUUGUAGUGGAGGUGAAAAUUCCUCCUACCCGCGGCAAGACGGAAAGACCCCGUGGACCU
rnacentral:rRNA from 1 species